rnacentral:rRNA from 1 species
AACGAACGCUGGCGGCAGGCUUAACACAUGCAAGUCGAACGCAUCCUUCGGGGUGAGUGGCAGACGGGUGAGUAACGCGUGGGAACGUGCCCUUCAGUUCGGGAUAACCCAGGGAAACUCGGGCUAAUACCGGAUACGUGCGAGAGCAGAAAGAUUUAUCGCUGAAGGAUCGGCCCGCGUCUGAUUAGCUAGAUGGUGGGGUAAUGGCCCACCAAGGCGACGAUCAGUAGCUGGUCUGAGAGGAUGAUCAGCCACAUUGGGACUGAGACACGGCCCAAACUCCUACGGGAGGCAGCAGUGGGGAAUAUUGGACAAUGGGCGCAAGCCUGAUCCAGCCAUGCCGCGUGAGUGAUGAAGGCCUUAGGGUUGUAAAGCUCUUUCGUCCGGGACGAUAAUGACGGUACCGGAAGAAGAAGCCCCGGCUAACUUCGUGCCAGCAGCCGCCGUAA